GUAUUGAUUGCGUGUGAUCGCAAAUAAAAUAAAAGACAUUCUACACUGCAUCAAUGUUUGUGUGAAAACGCAAGCCCCCCUCCGAACAAGCCGAAAGGGGGACCCACGCGGUGGUGCACAUAGGGGUGAGAUGGAUUGUUUGAAAAUGCUCGGGCGUGCACGACCAAAAGUCAGCGACAGCCCUUGCACCUCAGUUUUACAAUAAUGAUCCUUCCGCAGGUUCACCUACGGAAA
rnacentral:misc_RNA from 1 species